rnacentral:rRNA from 1 species
GGUUAAGCGACUAAGCGUACACGGUGGAUGCCCUGGCAGUCAGAGGCGAUGAAGGACGUGCUAAUCUGCGAUAAGCGUCGGUAAGGUGAUAUGAACCGUUAUAACCGGCGAUUUCCGAAUGGGGAAACCCAGUGUGAUUCGUCACACUAUCAUUAACUGAAUCCAUAGGUUAAUGAGGCGAACCGGGGGAACUGAAACAUCUAAGUACCCCGAGGAAAAGAAAUCAACCGAGAUUCCCCCAGUAGCGGCGAGCGAACGGGGAGCAGCCCAGAGCCUGAAUCAGUGUGUGUGUUAGUGGAAGCGUCUGGAAAGGCGUGCGAUACAGGGUGACAGCCCCGUACACAAAAAUGCACAUACUGUGAGCUCGAUGAGUAGGGCGGGACACGUGGUAUCCUGUCUGAAUAUGGGGGGACCAUCCUCCAAGGCUAAAUACUCCUGACUGACCGAUAGUGAACCAGUACCGUGAGGGAAAGGCGAAAAGAACCCCGGCGAGGGGAGUGAAAAAGAACCUGAAACCGUGUACGUACAAGCAGUGGGAGCACGCUUAGGCGUGUGACUGCGUACCUUUUGUAUAAUGGGUCAGCGACUUAUAUUCUGUAGCAAGGUUAACCGAAUAGGGGAGCCGAAGGGAAACCGAGUCUUAACUGGGCGUUAAGUUGCAGGGUAUAGACCCGAAACCCGGUGAUCUAGCCAUGGGCAGGUUGAAGGUUGGGUAACACUAACUGGAGGACCGAACCGACUAAUGUUGAAAAAUUAGCGGAUGACUUGUGGCUGGGGGUGAAAGGCCAAUCAAACCGGGAGAUAGCUGGUUCUCCCCGAAAGCUAUUUAGGUAGCGCCUCGUGAAUUCAUCUCCGGGGGUAGAGCACUGUUUCGGCAAGGGGGUCAUCCCGACUUACCAACCCGAUGCAAACUGCGAAUACCGGAGAAUGUUAUCACGGGAGACACACGGCGGGUGCUAACGUCCGUCGUGAAGAGGGAAACAACCCAGACCGCCAGCUAAGGUCCCAAAGUCAUGGUUAAGUGGGAAACGAUGUGGGAAGGCCCAGACAGCCAGGAUGUUGGCUUAGAAGCAGCCAUCAUUUAAAGAAAGCGUAAUAGCUCACUGGUCGAGUCGGCCUGCGCGGAAGAUGUAACGGGGCUAAACCAUGCACCGAAGCUGCGGCAGCGACGCUUAUGCGUUGUUGGGUAGGGGAGCGUUCUGUAAGCCUGUGAAGGUGUGCUGUGAGGUAUGCUGGAGGUAUCAGAAGUGCGAAUGCUGACAUAAGUAACGAUAAAGCGGGUGAAAAGCCCGCUCGCCGGAAGACCAAGGGUUCCUGUCCAACGUUAAUCGGGGCAGGGUGAGUCGACCCCUAAGGCGAGGCCGAAAGGCGUAGUCGAUGGGAAACAGGUUAAUAUUCCUGUACUUGGUGUUACUGCGAAGGGGGGACGGAGAAGGCUAUGUUGGCCGGGCGACGGUUGUCCCGGUUUAAGCGUGUAGGCUGGUUUUCCAGGCAAAUCCGGAAAAUCAAGGCCGAGGCGUGAUGACGAGGCACUACGGUGCUGAAGCAACAAAUGCCCUGCUUCCAGGAAAAGCCUCUAAGCAUCAGGUAACAUCAAAUCGUACCCCAAACCGACACAGGUGGUCAGGUAGAGAAUACCAAGGCGCUUGAGAGAACUCGGGUGAAGGAACUAGGCAAAAUGGUGCCGUAACUUCGGGAGAAGGCACGCUGAUACGUAGGUGAAGCGACUUGCUCGUGGAGCUGAAAUCAGUCGAAGAUACCAGCUGGCUGCAACUGUUUAUUAAAAACACAGCACUGUGCAAACACGAAAGUGGACGUAUACGGUGUGACGCCUGCCCGGUGCCGGAAGGUUAAUUGAUGGGGUUAGCGCAAGCGAAGCUCUUGAUCGAAGCCCCGGUAAACGGCGGCCGUAACUAUAACGGUCCUAAGGUAGCGAAAUUCCUUGUCGGGUAAGUUCCGACCUGCACGAAUGGCGUAAUGAUGGCCAGGCUGUCUCCACCCGAGACUCAGUGAAAUUGAACUCGCUGUGAAGAUGCAGUGUACCCGCGGCAAGACGGAAAGACCCCGUGAACCUUUACUAUAGCUUGACACUGAACAUUGAGCCUUGAUGUGUAGGAUAGGUGGGAGGCUUUGAAGUGUGGACGCCAGUCUGCAUGGAGCCGACCUUGAAAUACCACCCUUUAAUGUUUGAUGUUCUAACGUGGACCCGUGAUCCGGGUUGCGGACAGUGUCUGGUGGGUAGUUUGACUGGGGCGGUCUCCUCCUAAAGAGUAACGGAGGAGCACGAAGGUUGGCUAAUCCUGGUCGGACAUCAGGAGGUUAGUGCAAUGGCAUAAGCCAGCUUGACUGCGAGCGUGACGGCGCGAGCAGGUGCGAAAGCAGGUCAUAGUGAUCCGGUGGUUCUGAAUGGAAGGGCCAUCGCUCAACGGAUAAAAGGUACUCCGGGGAUAACAGGCUGAUACCGCCCAAGAGUUCAUAUCGACGGCGGUGUUUGGCACCUCGAUGUCGGCUCAUCACAUCCUGGGGCUGAAGUAGGUCCCAAGGGUAUGGCUGUUCGCCAUUUAAAGUGGUACGCGAGCUGGGUUUAGAACGUCGUGAGACAGUUCGGUCCCUAUCUGCCGUGGGCGCUGGAGAACUGAGGGGGGCUGCUCCUAGUACGAGAGGACCGGAGUGGACGCAUCACUGGUGUUCGGGUUGUCAUGCCAAUGGCACUGCCCGGUAGCUAAAUGCGGAAGAGAUAAGUGCUGAAAGCAUCUAAGCACGAAACUUGCCCCGAGAUGAGUUCUCCCUGACCCUUUAAGGGUCCUGAAGGAACGUUGAAGACGA